rnacentral:rRNA from 1 species
GUUGUAAAGUACUUUCAGCGGGGAGGAAGGGAGUAAAGUUAAUACCUUUGCUCAUUGACGUUACCCGCAGAAGAAGCACCGGCUAACUCCGUGCCAGCAGCCGCGGUAAUACGGAGGGUGCAAGCGUUAAUCGGAAUUACUGGGCGUAAAGCGCACGCAGGCGGUUUGUUAAGUCAGAUGUGAAAUCCCCGGGCUCAACCUGGGAACUGCAUCUGAUACUGGCAAGCUUGAGUCUCGUAGAGGGGGGUAGAAUUCCAGGUGUAGCGGUGAAAUGCGUAGAGAUCUGGAGGAAUACCGGUGGCGAAGGCGGCCCCCUGGACGAAGACUGACGCUCAGGUGCGAAAGCGUGGGGAGCAAACAGGAUU